GACGAACGCUGGCGGCGUGCCUAAUACAUGCAAGUAGAACGCUGAAGGAGGAGCUUGCUUCUCUGGAUGAGUUGCGAACGGGUGAGUAACGCGUAGGUAACCUGCCUGGUAGCGGGGGAUAACUAUUGGAAACGAUAGCUAAUACCGCAUAAGAGUAGAUGUUGCAUGACAUUUGCUUAAAAGGUGCAAUUGCAUCACUACCAGAUGGACCUGCGUUGUAUUAGCUAGUUGGUGGGGUAACGGCUCACCAAGGCGACGAUACAUAGCCGACCUGAGAGGGUGAUCGGCCACACUGGGACUGAGACACGGCCCAGACUCCUACGGGAGGCAGCAGUAGGGAAUCUUCGGCAAUGGACGGAAGUCUGACCGAGCAACGCCGCGGGAGUGAAGAAGGGUUUCGGAUCGUAAAGCUCUGUUGUAAGAGAAGAACGAGUGUGAGAGUGGAAAGUUCACACUGUGACGGUAGCUUACCAGAAAGGGACGGCUAACUACGUG
rnacentral:rRNA from 1 species